rnacentral:rRNA from 1 species
ACCCGGCACGAAGCAGCGGAGCAUGUGGUUUAAUUCGUUGCUACACGAAGAACCUUACCAGGUCUUGACAUCCCGAUGCUAUUCUAGAGAUAGAAAGUUACUUCGGUACAUCGGUGACAGGUGGUGCAUGGUUGUCGUCAGCUCGUGUCGUGAGAUGUUGGGUUAAGUCCCGCAACGAGCGCAACCCCUAUUGUUAGUUGCCAUCAUUCAGUUGGGCACUCUAGCGAGACUGCCGGUAAUAAACCGGAGGAAGUGGGAUGACGUCAAAUCAUCAUGCCCCUUAUGACCUGGGCUACACACGUGCUACAAUGGUUGGUACAACGAGUUGCGAGUCGGUGACGGCGAGCUAAUCUCUUAAAGCCAAUCUCAGUUCGGAUUGUAGGCUGCAACUCGCCUACAUGAAGUCCGGAAUCGCUAGUAAUCGCGGAUCAGCACGCCGCGGUGAAUACGUUCCCGGGCCUU